UACGUAGGGGGCAAGCGUUGUCCGGAUUUAUUGGGCGUAAAGAGCGUGUAGGCGGCCAGGUAGGUCCGUUGUGAAAACUGGAGGCUUAACCUCCAGCUGUCGAUGGAAACCAUCUGGCUAGAGUCCGGAAGAGGAGAGUGGAAUUCCUGGUGUAGCGGUGAAAUGCGCAGAUAUCAGGAAGAACACCCGUGGCGAAGGCGGCUCUCUGGGACGGUACUGACGCUGAGGCACGAAAGCUGGGGGAGCAAACGGG
rnacentral:rRNA from 1 species